UUGAACGAUUGGACGCGAGGGAGAAGUUUGGAGGGGAGACAAAUAAGGAGGCGCAUGUAUAAAUAGGGUGGAAGUGUUAGGGCCUCGGAGUCAUGGUGCAUCACAUGUAUUAUGCCAGAAGGUUCUCAGUAGUCUGGCUGGCCACUGGCUAGCAGUAACUCGUCAUGUUAGUUGUUACACAUAUGUGGGCCUAUCUCAUUGCAUACAUAUGGGUCCAUUAAAGGUACACAAACUGUGAAAGGUGCUGCAGCCUCCAAGUGAAGUUAUGUCGUCAGACCUGUUCAUCACUUUGCAUAUGAAGGAGAAAAGAGAAAUAAGUUUAGUUGCUUGUCUUGAGUUGAGUAGCUAUGGAUAGACCAAUAAAAGUUGUUUCAUGUUUGUUCAAGAAACUAGUGACAUCGGCGAGCAUGAGAGAAUGGACUGCAUUCUGCACAAGCACUCAUGGAUGAAGCUGUUUGAGAUUGAAGAUGGACUACAAUGCACUGAAUUUCAGCAAUCAGAUUGCUGUAUAAUUAUCUUGCGGUUACUUGUAAUUCGAGUUUUGAAAAUAUGCACAUUUUAAAUUCGAAUAUGUUCCGUUUGAGAAUACCACCCUUCACACUAAGCACUUAUAUGUAAUCUAACUUCCC
rnacentral:lncRNA from 1 species